GACGAACGCUGGCGGCGUGCCUAAUACAUGCAAGUAGAACGCUGAAGAGAGAAGCUUGCUCUUCUUGGAUGAGUUGCGAACGGGUGAGUAACGCGUAGGUAACCUGCCUUGUAGCGGGGGAUAACUAUUGGAAACGAUAGCUAAUACCGCAUAACAAUGGAUGACACAUGUCAUUUAUUUGAAAGGGGCAAUUGCUCCACUACAAGAUGGACCUGCGUUGUAUUAGCUAGUAGGUGAGGUAAUGGCUCACCUAGGCGACGAUACAUAGCCGACCUGAGAGGGUGAUCGGCCACACUGGGACUGAGACACGGCCCAGACUCCUACGGGAGGCAGCAGUAGGGAAUCUUCGGCAAUGGGGGCAACCCUGACCGAGCAACGCCGCGUGAGUGAAGAAGGGUGUCGGAUCGUAAAGCUCUGUUGUAAGUCAAGAACGGGUGUGAGAGUGGAAAGUUCACACUGUGACGGUAGCUUACCAGAAAGGGACGGCUAACUACGUG
rnacentral:rRNA from 1 species